AUUGAACGCUGGCGGAAUGCUUUACACAUGCAAGUCGAACGGCAGCACGGGGGCAGCCCUGGUGGCGAGUGGCGAACGGGUGAGUAAUACAUCGGAACGUGCCCGGUCGUGGGGGAUAACGUAGCGAAAGUUACGCUAAUACCGCAUACGAUCUGAGGAUGAAAGCGGGGGACCUUCGGGCCUCGCGCGAUCGGAGCGGCCGAUGUCAGAUUAGGUAGUUGGUGGGGUAAAGGCCUACCAAGCCGACGAUCUGUAGCUGGUCUGAGAGGACGACCAGCCACACUGGGACUGAGACACGGCCCAGACUCCUACGGGAGGCAGCAGUGGGGAAUUUUGGACAAUGGGCGCAAGCCUGAUCCAGCCAUUCCGCGUGCAGGACGAAGGCCUUCGGGUUGCAAACUGCUUUUGUACGGAACGAAAAGGCUCUGGCUAAUACCUGGGGCUCAUGACGGUACCGUAAGAAUAAGCACCGGCUAACUACGUG
rnacentral:rRNA from 1 species